rnacentral:lncRNA from 1 species
UUUUUUAACCUAAACAAAUGUGAGAAAACAUACUCUUUUUAAACCCAAUCCUUUCUCUUUCUUCACUUAUAUAUCCCAAACUUUUCUUUUUGUCUCUCUUCAUGUGUAUGUCACUCUCUUUUUCUUCUCGUGUUUUUUCAAACAUCUCUCUCUUUCUGAUAACCUCUCACCUCCAUAAUCCUUUUUGUCUCUCUAGAAGUUUGGGAGGAUGGUUUUUUAAAAAUGUAUGUAUUUUUAGAUUUGUUUGACCUAAAAAAACAAAUUUACAUUAACUCAGGAGAUUAGAAGAAAUAAAAUCUAUGAUUUUUAUGCCUCAAGAUAUAUUUUAAAACCUUGGGUUUAUUCGGAGAUCCAAAAUCUUUUUCUCUUUUAUAUUCUUACAUCUCAAUGUCGAGAUGAUUGAUUAGAGGUUUUUUCAACAUUAAAACAAUUUUUUCCUAUGGAUUUUUGAAGUACAUAUAUAAUUCUAAAUUUUAAGAUUGCAAUCAUAUAUAAACUUUUUCCAAAAAUAAAUGAAACAAAAUAAACAUUGAAGUAAGGG